CCUACGGGAGACAGCAGUGGGGGAUAUUGCACAAUGGGGGAAACCCUGAUGCAGCGACGCCGCGUGGGCGAAGAAGUAUUUCGGUAUGUAAAGCCCUAUCAGCAGGGAAGAAGAAAUGACGAUACCUGCGUAAGAAGCACCGGCUAAAUACGUGCCAGCAGCCGCGGUAAUACGUAUGGUGCAAGCGUUAUCCGGAUUUACUGGGUGUAAAGGGAGCGCAGGCGGCACGGCAAGCCUGAUGUGAAAGCCCGCGGCCCAACCGCGGGACUGCAUUGGGAACUACCGGGAUGGAGUGCCGGAGAGGUAGGCGGAAUUCCUAGUGUAGCGGUGAAAUGCGUAGAUAUUAGGAGGAACACCAGUGGCGAAGGCGGCCUACUGGACGGUGACUGACGCUGAGGCACGAAAGCGUGGGGAGCAAACAGGAUUAGAUACCCGAGUAGUC
rnacentral:rRNA from 1 species